GAUGAACGCUGGCGGCGUGCCUAAUACAUGCAAGUCGAGCGAACAGACGAGGAGCUUGCUCCUCUGACGUUAGCGGCGGACGGGUGAGUAACACGUGGAUAACCUACCUAUAAGACUGGGAUAACUUCGGGAAACCGGAGCUAAUACCGGAUAAUAUAUUGAACCGCAUGGUUCAAUAGUGAAAGACGGUUUUGCUGUCACUUAUAGAUGGAUCCGCGCCGCAUUAGCUAGUUGGUAAGGUAACGGCUUACCAAGGCAACGAUGCGUAGCAGACCUGAGAGGGUGAUCGGCCACACUGGAACUGAGACACGGUCCAGACUCCUACGAGAGGCAGCAGUAGGGAAUCUUCCGCAAUGGGCGAAAGCCUGACGGAGCAACGCCGCGUGAGUGAUGAAGGUCUUCGGAUCGUAAAACUCUGUUAUUAGGGAAGAACAAAUGUGUAAGUAACUAUGCACGUCUUGACGGUACCUAAUCAGAAAGCCACGGCUAACUACGUG
rnacentral:rRNA from 1 species